rnacentral:rRNA from 1 species
AGGAUGAACGCUGGCGGCGUGCCUAAUACAUGCAAGUCGAGCGGUAAGGCCUCUUCGGAGGUACACGAGCGGCGGACGGCUGAGUAACACGUAGGAACGUACCCCAAAGUGAGGCAUAAGCACCAGAAAUGGUGUCUAAUACCGCAUGUGGCCUUAGGGCUAAAGCUCCGGCGCUUUGGGAACGGCCUGCGCAUGAUUAGCUUGUUGGUGAGGUAAUGGCUCACCAAGGCGACGAUCAUUAGCUGGUCUGAGAGGAUGAUCAGCCAGACUGGGACUGAGAACGGCCCAGACUCCUACGGGAGGCAGCAGUAGGGAAUUUUCCACAAUGGGC